UUCGAAUCCAUAUCAACGUGAAUCGGCUGAUAGUAAUGAUAUUGUUUUGAUUUGAAAUCUUCGACUUAUAUUUUUUAGUUCUUAAAAUACUGUAUCAAGUAACUUUUUAAAAUUAAAUAAUCGAAAACCAAUAGGCCCUUCCGUUCCCCGGAAGUUAAAUGAAUCCACCGGUAAACAAAAAGUGACGGCACAUGUUGACAAAUUUUUAUCAUUCUUCCAAAAAAUACGAGGCACAAUCGUAAAAGAAGAUUUAUACGGAUUUGCUGCAACCACAACUUUACCAACAACGCGUUUAAAAACAAAGGGUAUAACAAAACUGGAACUAUAACAACAAUGAACAAUUCGUCAGUUACAAAACAGGAGCAGAGGACUUUUUUACGUGAAAGAUUUCUUCGUCUUCUAUCCCAUUUAUCAGGUCAAGACGCCAAAAUUAAGAUGCAUGAGAGGACAUCUGUGUCAUGUGUUUUAGGACAAGUAGAUAUUGAUAUCCACCAUGUACAAGUCUCCGAUUUAACUACGCCAAUGGGCAACAUCCCAAAUGCUGUACUCAGGAUGUCAGAUGUGAUUUCCAUUGAAGUGCCUGAUCUCAAUACAUCUAACCGAUGAUUUAAAUGAUGAAUCUCUAAGGAAGUUGUUUUCCUGAUAACAGAUUAGGAUGUUAUCAUGGUAAUAAAAUGUAUCAUAGAUGUGCUGAAUUGGCGCAAUAAUCUUAUACAAAAUAGUGAAUGGAUAUUAAGCAUGUUUAGUGAACAUGGUGAUUUUCAUGUCAUCAUACAGAUGCAUAGGCAAUUGAAAAGAUUUAAUGCUGAACGACUUGAAUAUUUAUAUAUUGUUAAAAUCUAGAAACAAUUAGAAUUCUGUGUUGAACUUAAGAUUUUGACAUUUUUAAUACAAUUACAAUUGAUAAAAUAAA